CGCGCUGUAGCUCAGUCGGGUAGAGCAACUGGUUCAUCACCAGUGGACGAGGGUUCGAGUCCCUCCACCGCAC
rnacentral:tRNA from 1 species